rnacentral:rRNA from 1 species
GGGGAAUUUUGGACAAUGGGGGAAACCCUGAUCCAGCCAUCCCGCGUGUGCGAUGAAGGCCUUCGGGUUGUAAAGCACUUUUGGCAGGGAAGAAACGGCACCGGCUAAUACCGGGUGUCACUGACGGUACCUGCAGAAUAAGCACCGGCUAACUACGUGCCAGCAGCCGCGGUAAUACGUAGGGUGCAAGCGUUAAUCGGAAUUACUGGGCGUAAAGCGUGCGCAGGCGGUUCGGAAAGAAAGAUGUGAAAUCCCAGAGCUUAACUUUGGAACUGCAUUUUUAACUGCCGAGCUAGAGUAUGUCAGAGGGGGGUAGAAUUCCACGUGUAGCAGUGAAAUGCGUAGAGAUGUGGAGGAAUACCGAUGGCGAAGGCAGCCCCCUGGGAUAAUACUGACGCUCAUGCACGAAAGCGUGGGGAGCAAAC